UACGAAGGGGGCUAGCGUUGUCCGGAAUCACUGGGCGUAAAGGGCGCGUAGGUGGUGGCUUAAGCGUGCGGUGAAAGCUCGGAGCUCAACUCCGAGUCGGCCGUGCGAACUGGGCUCACUGGAGCAUAGUAGAGGCAGGUGGAAUUCCGGGUGUAGCGGUGGAAUGCGUAGAUAUCAAGAGGAACACCAGUGGCGAAGGCGAGUCCCUGGACAACACCUGACACUGAGGCACGAAAGCUGGGGGAGCAGACAGG
rnacentral:rRNA from 1 species